GAUGAACGCUGGCGGCGUGCCUAAUACAUGCAAGUCGAGCGAACAGACGAGGAGCUUGCUCCUCUGACGUUAGCGGCGGACGGGUGAGUAACACGUGGAUAACCUACCUAUAAGACUGGGAUAACUUCGGGAAACCGGAGCUAAUACCGGAUAAUAUAUUGAACCGCAUGGUUCAAUAGUGAAAGACGGUUUUGCUGUCACUUAUAGAUGGUUCCGGGCGGCAUUAGCUAGUUGGGAAGUUAACGGCCUAUCAAGGCAACGAUGCGUAGCCGACGUGAGAGGGUGGUCGGCCACACUGGAACGGGGACACGGUCCAGAGUCCUACGGGAGGCAGCAGUAGGGAAUCGUACGCAAUGGGCGAAAGCCUUGCGGAGCAACGCCGCGUGAGUGAUGAAAGUCUUCCGAUCGUAAAGCUCUGUUAUUAGGGAAGAACAAAUGUGUAAGUAACUGUGCACGUCUUGACGGUACCUAAUAAGAAAGCCACGGCUAACUACGUG
rnacentral:rRNA from 1 species